AAACCAUGAUGAGGGCAUCUAUAUAUGAGCAAUUUAAAAUGCUCUCAAGCUUUGUAAAAGUUCUUUCCUUCCAUCUAUUUGAAGUUGGAAACAUCUCUUCUUUGUUG
rfam:Gossypium hirsutum cultivar TM-1 chromosome 18, whole genome shotgun sequence